AAUAAAGUGCCUGAAAUAAAAGGAUUAUUCUGAUAGGAUAAAUUAUGUAGAAUUCUACCUUUAUUA
rnacentral:tRNA from 1 species